rnacentral:tRNA from 1 species
GGGGGUGUAACUCAGUUGGUAGAGUAACCGUUUUGCAUACGGGCAGUCGCGGGUUCAAAUCCCGCCAUCUCCA